rnacentral:rRNA from 1 species
UACAGAGGGUGCGAGCGUUGUUCGGAAUUAUUGGGCGUAAAGGGCGCGUAGGCGGUGCGGUAAGUCACCUGUGAAAUCUCCUGGCUCAACUGGGAGCUUGCAGGCGAAACUGCCGUGCUGGAGUGUGGGAGAGGUGAGUGGAAUUCCCGGUGUAGCGGUGAAAUGCGCAGAUAUCAGGAGGAACACCGAUGGCGAAGGCAGGUCUCUGGGCCACUACUGACGUGGAGAAGCGAAAGCAUGGGGAGCGAACAGG